rnacentral:rRNA from 1 species
UACGGAGGAUGCAAGCGUUAUCCGGAUUCAUUGGGUUUAAAGGGUGCGUAGGCGGGCUAUUAAGUCAGUGGUGAAAUCCUGCAGCUUAACUGCAGAACUGCCGUUGAUACUGAUAGUCUUGAGUUUGGUUAAGGUAGGCGGAAUGUGUAAUGUAGCGGUGAAAUGCUUAGAUAUUACACAGAACACCAAUUGCGUAUGCAGCUUACUGAGCCGACACUGACGCUGAGGCACGAAAGCGUGGGGAUCAAACA